rnacentral:sRNA from 1 species
CGCCUUCUGCAACGAAAGCUUCCCAAUUUCGAUUAACUUGGGUUACCGCCUGAUUGAAGAAUAACACCAUAUUGAAUGAAGAUGGAAAUAGGAAUGAGUGCAUGCUUUUCAAGAUGUCCAUGAUCAAAACUCCUGUACCAUUGAGGUCGAUGGAUCGGGACUGGUCGAAUUUGAUUUUGACUUGAACCCGCUCAAAUACUAAACGAGCUAUCAGCUCUGUCUGCCCGUCAAUCAGUACGAAACCGAUCUUGGCUUACUCUUUUGUAGAAGCCGAAAUGACCCGGCAAGUCUUCGGCUCCUUCCUUAAACUCUUCGUGGUCCUCAAACAUUGGAGGUUCACCAUCAUCAAGUGCAGUCUUCUCCAUUGUGAUUAACUAUCUCAGCUCGUCAGUUUAAUGUUCGGAAAAUAUAAUGAACGAAACAUGACACACCCGUCUACCCCACUUUCCAAAAUCCUGCACGCUUCCAUCCCCGAUCUUUAAUUCCCUCAUUCCUUCUACCUUAGGGAUAUCGAUCUCGUCAUAAUCCUCAUUAACGGUUGGCAAGAAGAAAACUAAACGGCCUUUGGGCACAAGGAUCCAUCGCGCAAGGAGAAUCAAGUCGAGGGUGAGGUUGGCUAGUUCGUAAGGGCGAGAAGGGGGGAUAUAGUCUGACCGUCUAAAAAUGAAGUCAGUAUACCUAUUUAAUACUUGAUGAAAGGGGUAACAACGCACUCGUGCGAGUAGGUACCAUCAGGUAAUUGAUACGGCUCUUCCCUCAAAGGCUUCUUUCCCUCCUUACGACCGAGACGCUUUGCACCUGCCCUAACGCCAUCUACCAGUACGCACCAUUAGUGUCGGGUAAUCGAAAAGGAUUUGACAUACAAGGAGGAUCUGUGAUGAUAGCAUCAAUCCAUCCACCCCGACGAAUAGGACCUCUCGUGACAUCGAAAAUAUAGAAGUCCAGGAAUUUAUCCUGAAGUCGGUAUUGCUCAGCAGCACGAAGAAUUCCGGGCUUGAUACCCUUGCCCUUCUCUAAUGAUAUCGUCACUUCGGUCUAUUGGAAGCCAGAACCGAUUAACUUACUUUUGCCUCGGAUUUGUCUACCAUCAAUAUCGGAACCCAUAACAUAAGCUCCGAAUUGUGCGACUGCGUAUAGCAUAGAACCGGUUCCAACAAAGGGAUCGUAGAUGAGUUUUCCUGGGACAGGCUACAAGAAUACUAUUAGCCUGCCAUGAGGAAUCUCAAGCGAUCACUCACUAGAGCUUGGUUAGCCAUAAGGAAUCCCAUCUGUGCCUCCAUGGAGGUGUUGCCGUAGUAUGCUCGAGUUUUGACGGAGUGAGAGAUGAUCAAUUGCCUAGCUCGACCGUUUCCGAUCUAGCUCGUAAACUCGGUGAAAUUUGCCAUCUCGCGCAAGGCGUUGCUCGGGGGUGUUAGCGGCGACCCAAUCGUCUGAUGCGCGCUGUCAAUCUAAUUGGAUGCAGAAGGAAAUGAGAACAACUUACAAUCCUCAUAAACAAUGAAUUCCACUUCUGGGUUUUUUAAUCUGAUUUUGCCUUCUAAACCAGUGUAUUUAAACGAGUUGAUAGUUUCUCUGCGCAGAUCAAUCAGCAACAAAAU